rnacentral:lncRNA from 1 species
CUAUACAAUAUCUUUGUUAAAAUGCCGAGAAGAUUUAUCCUAAAAGAAGGCACCAAAGCAAUGGGGUUCAUCAACUCAGGAUCCAGUAGUGUAAUACAGAAGCCUGUUACAAGAUAUAAGCAAUUGUAAUGAACAGCAUAACUAUUUGUGUGACUACACUUGGUAUAAUUCUAUUAAGCACUGAGAUUGCAACUUUUGCAUUAAAUGCAACUACAUACAAUUGGUCAAACGCACUUCACCCUCGGAAAUCUCACUGUCAGAAUCCUUGGAAAUCACACCACGCACAACUUCUAUUUCUUCCUAAUUUGCAAAGAACCAGUGUGACUCCAGUCAAGAACAAAAGAUUAAUUGUGAAUUAGCAAAGAACUCUAAUUUUUUCAAGAGGCCACAUGGAAAACGCAUUCUAAUGAAGUCCUUUCCAUUGCUCUUUUUUCUUAGUUCUUCAAUAAAGCAUGAGAUUUGAUCACAAA